rnacentral:rRNA from 1 species
UGUCUUUAUGGAGGUUUAUAAAGUCUAACCUGCCCAUUGGGAACUAAAAGGCCGCGGUAUUAUGACCGUGCAAAGGUAGCAUAAUCAUUAGUUUUUUAAUUGAAGGCUAGAAUGAAUGGUUGGACAAGAAAUAAUCUGUCUUAAAUUAAUAUAUUGAAUUUAACUUUUAAGUGAAAAGGCUUAAAUAAUCUGGAGGGACGAUAAGACCCUAUAAAACUUUAUAUUUAUAAUAUAGUAGUUAGUUUUAUUUAAGGGUAUUAUUUUAGAGUAUUUGGUUGGGGUGACAAGGAUAAAAUAUUAAAUAACUGUCUUUUUUUUUUACAGUGAUGUUUGGUUUAAUGAUCCUAAAAGGGAUUAAAGAUUAAGUUACUUUAGGGAUAACAGCGUAAUUUUCUUUAAGAGUUCUUAUCGACAAGAAAGUUUGCGACCUCGAUGUUGAAUUAAAAGUUCUUUAUAGAGUAGAGGCUAUAAUAGAAGGUCUGUUCGACCUUUAAAAUUUUACAUGAUUUGAGUUCAAACCGG